rnacentral:rRNA from 1 species
AUGGGAACGCGAAGAACCUUACCUAGACUUGACAUCUUCUGCAUUAAUCGUAAUGGAUGAAAUCCCUUCGGGGACAGAAUGACAGGUGGUGCAUGGUUGUCGUCAGCUCGUGUCGUGAGAUGUUGGGUUAAGUCCCGCAACGAGCGCAACCCCUAUUACUAGUUGCUAACAUUAAGUUGAGCACUCUAGUGAGACUGCCCGGGUUAACCGGGAGGAAGGUGGGGAUGACGUCAAAUCAUCAUGCCCCUUAUGUCUAGGGCUACACACGUGCUACAAUGGUGGGAACAAAGAGAUGCAAUACCGCAAGGUGGAGCUAAACUCAAAACCCCAUCCCAGUUCGGAUUGUAGGCUGAAACUCGCCUACAUGAAGCUGGAGUUGCUAGUAAUCGCGAAUCAGAAUGUCGCGGUGAAUACGUUCCCGGGUCUUGUACACACCG